rnacentral:rRNA from 1 species
UGAGAAGUGGUGCAUGGCCGUCGUCAGUUCGUACUGUGAAGCAUCCUGUUAAGUCAGGCAACGAGCGAGACCCACGUCCACAGUUGCCAGCAUACCCCUCCGGGGUGAUGGGUACACUGUGGAGACCGCCGCUGCUAAAGCGGAGGAAGGAGUGGGCAACGGUAGGUCAGUAUGCCCCGAAUCUCCCGGGCUACACGCGGGCUACAAUGGUUGGUACAAUGGGCAUCUACCCCGAAAGGGGAAGGAAAUCUCUUAAAGCCAAUCGUAGUUCGGAUUGAGGGCUGCAACUCGCCCUCAUGAAGCUGGAAUCCGUAGUAAUCGCGUUUCGACAGAACGCGGUGAAUACGUCCCUGCUCCUU